GCGCAUGUGUCGAAGCCUCGGGUAUCAGAGGACCAUCACUAUCUCUGGCUGCUGUUGACCUUGUUUUUGGAGUAAAACACGAUGUUCAGAGGGAGAUGAUGCCACAUCUGGUCCAGCUGAUGGAAGGUCUUGAAGUUCUCUGACUGGCCUCGACUGAAGAUGGUCGUCUCACUGGAUUUAAGGUUCAGAUGCUCAGUAACAAACUCCACCAAUGAGCCAACAGGGAAGCUUUAGGUUUAUUAAAUGUUGCUAUGAAGGUUUCACUGUUUUUCUUUGUGAAUGCAAUGUGCUCCAACUGAAACUUGAAUUAGAAGUAAAUCCUUCCAUCUGAAAGGAUUUAGUUGCAUUAAUAACCUCAUAACAUUCUAAUUUUUAUUCCAGUCUUGGUUGGAAAUAGAAUCUCGGUAUUGAUUCAGGUAAAAACUGAACUUCACAGCAUGUUGGAGCAAAACAACCAGAUGAAAACUGUGAUGGUGUUGGAUUGUCAGACCGUAAUGUUGCAGCUCAAAGCAGCUUUUCUAGCUCAGUUCAUUCUGACAUUCAGCUAUGAAUCAACACAGCAGAUGGUGAUCCAUGCUGUGGAAGUCUCACAUCUCCUGAUUUAAUGGAGCUGCUUUGCACUUUUUACACUGUUUAUUCACCAACACUUUAUUUAAUAAAAGUCCCAUCUAGUUUUCAUGAGGAAUGUGAUGUUUUAAUUUCUCUGUGAAUAACUGCAGUCUAAUGCAACAGCUGGAAUUGUAACAUCUGUCCUGAUAUUGAUCAUGAAGUAUUGAUCAGAAUACUUAUGGUCAGCAGUCAUCCCUGAAGUUUUAUAUUAAAAUCUUUACUUGUGUUGUGAACUUUGGUAAGAAGCAGAAACGUUAGCAUUGCCAUGGAUAUAUGAGUGUUAAAUUCUGUCCAUGUUUCAUUUUGGGAAAUGCAGUCCAGUUCCAGAAUGUGGACGAAUUUAGUCUCACAAUCACAGACAACAAAUAUUAUCUGAAAGUCUGAUUAUUGUUGUUUAUCAGCACAAUACAAAAAGAUUAAUGUUAGAAAUAUUCCAGUUAAGACUCUAGAAUAUCAUGAUUUAUGUAAAUUUACCUCAGUAAUAUGAAU
ensembl:lncRNA